rnacentral:rRNA from 1 species
CUACGGGGGGCUGCAGUGGGGAAUAUUGGACAAUGGGGGAAACCCUGAUCCAGCAAUGCCGCGUGUGUGAAGAAGGCCUGCGGGUUGUAAAGCACUUUCGGUUGGGAGGACUGCUUCUAGCACUAAUAUUGUUGGAAGUUGACGUUACCUUCAGAAGAAGCACCGGCUAACUGCGUGCCAGCAGCCGCGGUAAUACGGAGAGUGCAAGCGUUAAUCGGAAUUACUGGGCGUAAAGCGCGCGUAGGCGGCUAGAUCAGUCGGGUGUGAAAGCCCCGGGCUUAACCUGGGAACUGCAUCCGAUACUGUCUAGCUUGAGUACAGGAGAGGGGAGUGGAAUUCCACAUGUAGCGGUGAAAUGCGUAUAUAUGUGGAGGAACACCAAUGGCGAAGGCAGCUCUCUGGCCUGAUACUGACGCUGAGGUGCGAAAGCGUGGGGAGCAAACAGGAUUAGAUACCCCUGUAGUC